rnacentral:misc_RNA from 1 species
AAAUGGCGGGAGAAGAAGGUUCAACUUUUGGAAGCACAGAUGCCUGCCUUUCUUCACGUUUCUUACAAACCUUGAACGAAAUGAGACUGCAAGGAGUAUUCUGUGAUGUAUCACUUAAGGAUAUAACACAGAAGAAAGAUGCGCUUUAAACACAGUUGAAGUAUUUACUCCAUCAACUGAUACCUGGCAGAAUACGAGUCCGUUAACUGCUCCAAGGCGACGGUUUGGCAGUGCUGUAGUAAAUGGUAUGAUCU